rnacentral:rRNA from 1 species
UAAGACGUAGGAGACGAGCGUUGUCCGGAUUUACUGGGCGUAAAGGGCGCGCAGGCGGUCGCGCGCGUCGGGCGUGAAAGCCCCCGGCUCAACCGGGGCGGGUCGUCCGAGACGGCGUGACUGGAGGGCGGCAGAGGCUGGUGGAAUUCCCGGUGUAGUGGUGAAAUGCGUAGAGAUCGGGAGGAACACCCGUGGCGAAGGCGGCCAGCUGGGCCGGCCCUGACGCUGAGGCGCGAAGGCGCGGGGAGCGAACGGG